rnacentral:lncRNA from 1 species
GUCUUGCUCUGUCACCCAAGCUGGGUGAUCUCAGCUCACUGCAACCUCUGCCUCCCAGGCUCAAAUGAUCCUCCUGCCUCAGCCUUCUGAGUAGCUGGGACUAAGGACAUGUGCCACCAUGUCUGGUGUAUUUUUGUAUUUUUUGUAUUUUGUAAUUUUUGUAUUUUUUGUAGAGAAGGGUUUCAACAUGUUGCCCUGGCUGGUCUCAAACUCCUGGUCUCAAGGGAUCCGUCCACCUCAGCCUCCGAAAGGGCUGGGAUUACAGGCGUGAGCCACCAUGCCUGGCCUCCUUUAGGAUUUUCUGUACAACAGGUGAGUGCACUGCAAGAAGGUGGCCAUCUGCAAGCCAGGAAGAGGGCCCUUGCCAGAAACUGAACUGCCUGGCGUCUUGAUCUCGGACUUCCCAGCCUCCAGAACUCUUUGAAAAUCUACCAUUCGGCCCUUUUAGUCUUUCCGGCUGAUCUUUCCCAUCCACAAACAGAUGUUGCUCACUGGAUUCAGCACUUCCAUCAAAAUCCCCAAAAGCCUUCAUGCUUAGAAAUGAACAGACAUCAAAAAGGCAGCAACUGUCCUCUUUACUGCCAUUUCCUCUUCUAGGGCCUGUGACAUGACAAGGAUAAUGCAGGAGGUUAAAAAAAAAAAGCACUCGUGCUGAUGAAGAUGGGGGGCAGAGUAGUCACAAAGAAUGCAGUGUGAGUCAACCCUGGCAUCUGGAAGGAUCUGAACUGGCUGACUGGAGUGAAAAGAAUUCUUCAUGUCUGUAAAUUAUUACGAAAUGCCCUGAAGAGCCCAGUGACUAGUCACUGAGUAUCAAACCCAGGAAAGACCACGAACCAGCAUAAGUUCUAGAUCAAACAUUGUAGUCUGUACAAGCCACACUUCUAACACAUCUAGGUUCAAUCUGCCUUCAGAGGUGCCAGUGGAAUUCAAAAGCAUGUUAUAGCACUUUUCAUUUUCCAGUGCUCUUGAUUAUGAAAGCUCACACAUGGCCAUUCUCCUCUCUGAACAUCUCUG